GAAGGCCUCUCCCAGGUGACGUUUGGGCAGAGGCCUGAAUGCCUCGAAGCUGCUAACCCUGAGAAGAUUGGGACCAGAAGCUCUUAGUGGAAGCACAAACAGCACCUGUAAAGGCCCUGAGGUGGAAAUGAGCUUGGCGUGUUUGAGGAUCAGAACGUGGCCAGUGUGGCUGGAGGGUGUGGGCUAGUGGGAGAGCAGUGGGCCCUGAGGUUCACAGAGGCCAGACCGGGUGGACCCUGCCACUUAGGCUGUGGGGAGACGUUGGACUCUGUUAAAGGCAGGAGAAGCUGUGGGAGGUGGCGAUGACCCUGGAGAUUUCUGGUGGCUGGCAGGAGUGAGAGCAGGGAGUGCCCUCCAGCUGUCCCCCAGGUGACAGAGACUGACUACCUGAGAGGAUUGCUGAGUGGCAGCGAGUGAGUACUUGUGGAGUGAUUGGCAGAGUUCUCGGUGAGUGGUCGGUCACGUUGAAUCCAGACGCCUGGCCCAGUAUAGAAG